GAGGAAUAACCCUGGGAAACCGGGGCUAAUACCGCAUAAGCCGGUUUUUGUAAAAGGAAGCCGGGAAAGGAGCAAUUCGCCGAAGAAGGAGCCCGCGGCUGAUUAGCUAGUUGGUAGGGUAAAGGCCUACCAAGGCGACGAUCGGUAGCCGGCCUGAGAGGGCACACGGCCACACUGGCACUGAAACACGGGCCAGACUCCUACGGGAGGCAGCAGUGGGGAAUCUUGCACAAUGGGGGCAACCCUGAUGCAGCGACGCCGCGUGAGCGAUGAAGCCCUUCGGGGUGUAAAGCUCUUUCGACCGGAACGAUAACGACGGUACCGGGAGAAGAAGCUGCGGCUAACUACGUGCCAGCAGCCGCGGUAAUACGUAGGCAGCGAGCGUUGUUCGGAGUUACUGGGCGUAAAGCGUGCGUAGGCGGUGCCAUAAGUCUGUUGUGAAAUCUCCCGGCUCAACUGGGAGGGUGCGGUGGAAACUGUGGUGCUGGAGUGUGGGAGAGGUAGGCGGAAUUCCUGGUGUAGCGGUGAAAUGCGUAGAUAUCAGGAGGAACACCUGCGGUGUAGACGGCUUACUGGACCACGACUGACGCUGAGGCACG
rnacentral:rRNA from 1 species